rnacentral:rRNA from 1 species
CACCUCUUCCCAUUCCGAACAGAGCAGUUAAGCCCUCCUGCGCCGAUGGUACUGC